rnacentral:rRNA from 1 species
GACCCCUCCCCCAACCUCUUCGUCUCCGGGCUAAGCAAGCGUACAACAACUGAUGGACUUAGAGAAGCUUUUGCAAAGUUUGGGGAAGUUGAACACGCUCGAGUUGUCACAGAUCGUGUCACUGGUUUUUCUAAGGGGUUUGGCUUUGUAAGGUAUGUUUCGGUUGAAGAUGCAGCUAAAGGAAUAGAAGGAAUGGAUGGAAAAUUUCUGGAUGGAUGGGUUAUUUUUGCUGAAUAUGCUAGACCCAGACCACCGCCGCAGAUGGGAGGGGCAACUCCGCAGCCACAACAAUCAUGGGGCACUCCUGGUUCCUGGGGCUCACAGUAG